rnacentral:rRNA from 1 species
AUGGUAGGAUAGAGGCCUACCAUGGUGGUAACGGGUAACGGGGUGUUAAGGCACGACACCGGAGAGGGAGCCUGAGAAACGGCUACCACAUCCAAGGAUGGCAGCAGGCGCGCAAAUUACCCAAUCCCGACACGGGGAGGUAGUGACAAUAAAUAACAAUACGGGGUUCUUUAGGAUCUCGUAAUUGGAAUGAGUACAAUUUAAAUCUCUUAACGAGGAACAAUUGGAGGGCAAGUCUGGUGCCAGCAGCCGCGGUAAUUCCAGCUCCAAUAGCGUAUAUUAAAGUUGUUGCAGUUAAAAAGCUCGUAGUUGAAUUUCGGGGUCAGUAGGUCGGUCGUGCCACUGGUAUGAACUGGUUUUACUGAUUCCUCCCUCUUGAAGAACUGUAAUGCCAUUAAUUUGGUGUUGCAGGGAAUCAGGACUGUUACUUUGAAAAAAUUAGAGUGUUUAAAGCAGGCUUUAGCUUGAAUACAUUAGCAUGGAAUAAUGAAAUAGGACGUUUGAUCCUAUUUUGUUGGUUUCUAGGAUUGACGUAAUGAUUAAUAGGGAUAGUUGGGGGCAUUAGUAUUCAAUUGUCAGAGGUGAAAUUCUUGGAUUUAUUGAAGACUAACUACUGCGAAAGCAUUUGCCAAGGAUGUUUUCAUCAAUCAAGAACGAAAGUUAGGGGAUCGAAGACGAUCAGAUACCGUCGUAGUCUUAACCAUAAACUAUGCCGACUAGGGAUCGGAUGAUGUUAAUUUUUUAAUGACUCAUUCGGCGCCUUACGGGAAACCAAAGUGUUUGGG